rnacentral:rRNA from 1 species
AAGCGUUUAUGACCAGACUUGGGCUUGGUUAAUCAUCUGGGGUUCUCCCCAGUGCACUUUUCCAGUCCAGGCCAGCAUCAGUUUUCCCCGGGGGAUAAAGGCGGCGGGAAUGUGGCUCUCUUCGG